AAGACUAUACUUUCAGGGAUCAUUUAUAUAGUUCAUUACUAAAGAAGUUUAUCUGAACAUGUAGAGCACAGGACACCACAAGGAGAAGGCACAACAUUAUUCCUUGAGCCUGAACCCGGCUCUUGGUAUUGCAUCACUAGAACAGCCAUUUUUGACUGUUCUCUUCCAGGAGAAUAAGGAGAGGAUGCAGUUUGGGUGGU
ensembl:snoRNA U3 Small nucleolar RNA U3